GCGGAGGGAUCAUUAAAGAGUUAUUGUAAACUCCCAAACCCAUGUGAACAUACCUAUCGUUGCUUCGGCAGGUCGCGUCUACCCUGUGUGCUCCUACCCUGGAGCACCUACCCGGUAGACGCGGGUAAGCCUGCCGGUGGCCCACGAAACUCUGUUUAAUAUUGAAACUCUGAAUCUAUAACUAGAUAAGUUAAAACUUUCAACAACGGAUCUCUUGGUUCUGGCAUCGAUGAAGAACGCAGCGAAAUGCGAUAAGUAAUGUGAAUUGCAGAAUUCAGUGAAUCAUCGAAUCUUUGAACGCACAUUGCGCCCAUUAGUAUUCUAGUGGGCAUGCCUGUUCGAGCGUCAUUUCAACCCUUAAGCCCCUGUUGCUUAGUGUUGGGAAACUACAGCGAUGUAGCCUCCCUAAAGUUAGUGGCGGAGUCGGUUCACAUCUCCUAGGCGUAGUAAAUUUUAUUCUCGUCUCUGUAGUUGGGAUCCUCCCCCUUGCCCGUAAAAACCCCCCCAAUUUUCUAAAAGGUUGACCUUCCGGAUCCAGGUAGGAAUACCCGCUGAACUUAAGCCUAAUCAAUAAGCGGAAGGAAAAAGAAAACCCA
rnacentral:rRNA from 1 species